CUAACACCCCCAAAAUCUCUCCCCAUUUAUUCGAGCGUCCACGAUACCCACCCAGAGUUUGUUCUGCCGAUCCCUAACUUCCCUACUGUUGUGGUCCAUUUUUGCUUUCAUUAAAAAAUUAUGGUCUAUUUUUCACCGUAAAAGCAUCUCUGAAGCCCUAAGCGCUUGAAUUUCAGCUACAAUCAGGAAUCUUCCGUUGAAUCCUUCCUAGGUAAUACUGCAGGUAGGAUCACCGUUCUGAACUUGUAUUUGUUCUGUUUUGCAACCCUGCUAGUUGAGAAUGGGAAAUUCCUUCUUUCUGUAAAAAGGACUCGUAGGACUACUGAUACAGAGUAUAUCAUUUUUAUGAAUGCGGAAAAUAUUUCAAGUUCAAGCAACAAUUACAUCGGAAAACUGAGGUAAUACUGGAGGCUGCAAGUUUUCAGUUUUUAAUUCAAUUUAUCUACUUGUCCGCGUUGAGGUGUCGUUGUUUUGACAGAAAGCUUCUGUUAGAAAUAGUGCUAAUUGAGUUGAGCAGCUCGAAUUUUAUUCGUUUAUGAGGAACUCGUUUGUCAAGAAACAAAGGAAAAAUUGAGGGAGAAAAAGGCGGAGCAUCAUGC